AUACUUACCUGGACGGGGUCUAUGGGUGAUCAAGAAGGCUCAUGGCCUAGGUUAACGACCUCCAUUGCACUUCGGAGGGGCGUUCGCCUAAGAUCUCCCCAAUGCGGGAGAGUCUACGUCAUAAUUUGUGUUAGCGGGGGUACGCGUUCGCGCGGCCCCUGA
rfam:Macleaya cordata isolate BLH2017 scaffold9085, whole genome shotgun sequence.